CUCAAAGUGCCGCUGAACGCUGGCAGACUUCCGACGAUCACGCAUAUACACAGCGCAAAAUCCCAUCAUGCAACGCAAAGGCUUGUAGUCUUCGCAUUAGUUCACGUGUGGCAGAAAGUGUAAGAAAUACUGAACGCUAGAGGGCGUUUCAGAAUAUUCGAUAGCGUGGGACUAGACGCCCUCUAUUGGUGAAAGUACGCGAUAGCUUACAAAACUAAAGCAAAACCCAUUCUGUCGGCAGCAUGGUCGUCAAUGGAGCAGAUUUGCGUGUGGGAAUAAAAGAGUCUAGCGAGUAGCGUGUUUACGAAAAACGAGCGAGACGGGCCUUAGCUCAAUUGCUAUGCGCCAAGCAGAGCAAUCACUCAGCGGAGAGCAUUGGGGUGUAUCUACGUAAAGUGAAGCAAGCUAUCUCCACAACGGCAGCUCGAUUCUCUGGAUUUAUGCAACACGAUGCGCAAGAGUUUCUCUGUCAGUGCCUGGAUCAACUCAAAGACGACACCGAAAGGGCCAACAAGAGGGCGCUAAACUCCCCCUUGGACGAGACCCCAGGGACGGAUGAUGAUAAAAUUAAACUGAGGUUUCGCUAUCCGCACGACUGCCCGAUUGUCAAGAACUUUGAAUUUGAAGUCAUGCACUCUACGAUCUCUCGCUGGACAUGCCCAGAAGGAGUCAUUCUAACCCGAUCGGGUUGAUCCAGACGGCGCUGGAGCAGUUCUUCAGAGAGGAGGGUAUAGAGUAUGCCUGCGGAGAAUGUGACUGCAAGCAGGCUAUAGUCACGCAUAAGUUCACUAAGCUACCAAGGGUAAUUAUCAUUCAUCUUAAGCGCUACAAAUUUGAUUUCUGACGCCUUCCAGUACUCCAAGCUCCGUCGCCGCAUCCUCAUACCCAGGUACUUGUCCGUCCACUACCACUGCACCAAGGAAACCCAGAGUCCAACAUCUCUCCCAAAGUCAUUAGUCAACGGGACGUCAUCUCCAAGGCCACAACAACUCAAUGCCGAGAGAACUCAAAGGUUGUCCCUCACAGCCCCGUCGACGAGGGAAUCUAAUUGGUCUGCAAGGAGCGAGUCGUUUAAGCCCUCGUGCUUCAGUUUUGCGCCCUCAAGGAAGAGGCUGAACUAUGACGACAACAGUAAACAACCAAGGCAAACCAUUCUCCUGGAAAGUAACACAGACUCAGACGAUGACGAGACCAAAAAAGUCUUAGAGAUGAGUAAAAAAGAGUCGGAGAGAAAAAAGCGAGAGGCAGAUGAGAGGUUGCGGCUUGAGGAAGAAGAAUUGAAAAAGGAAUCCUUGAGAAGAUGACACUCUGAGAUGUGCAGGAAGAUGUGUGGGGAGGCAGCCCACCUGCAAGGCCUCCCCUGAAAUGGCUGCUGAAGAGACACGAGUACAUAAAGUGCCAUAGAAGCUUUACUGAAAUUAGUGAAAUAUGCCAUCAUCCUGCAAUACACACAUGGUCUAAAAGAGAAAUGACAAGACAAGCACAUAAGAAAAUGAGAUGAUGGAAAACCUCUUUAGUUGUUUGUGUUCUGCUCAGAUGUUGCCUAGCGACAAGGGAUGCUCAGUACUUUGAUAACAUCUUCUCCACAUUGGGAGAGAUUGAAAGAGAACAGGUGAUGAGGAGGGUGACUCCAGGAAUGCGGCCCCAUUACAAUGUGAGCAUGAGGCGACCACGGACACAUGUUUAUGCCAGACUGCAACACUGUACUAAUGAAACUCAAUGCAUGCAUCAAGGACAUUCACCAAAGAGCCACUGCAAACAAGAUGAUGCUUAAUGCUGCAAAGCAUUGGUUCUUCAUUUUACAUCAAGAUUUUCACAACAGCCACUUCCAGUCAUUUCCAUCACGGUUGGUGAUGUGAAACCACUCAACGAAAGCCAGAAAUCUCUGUGCAGUCAUGGAUGAACAUCUACAUGUAUCACCGAAGGCCCAUGUCUCUACCCUAUAUGCCGCUCUUAAAUUACUGUCAUCCAAAGAUGUUUUAAAUUUAGAAAAUAAUGAUCCACACAAAUACACCUGGAAAUUGUUUAGUUUUCCUUGGCCGUC